AACGGCCAUACCAUGCUGAAUAUACCGGUUCUCGUUAGAUCACCGAAGUCAAGCAUCAUUGGGCGCGGUCAGUACUUGUGUGGGUGACCACCUGGGAACACCGCGUGCCGUU
rnacentral:rRNA from 1 species